UCCUCCAUUAAUUAGAUCUUUAAAAUAGGCCUCAGUAGAUUCUUUCGCACGAAAGAGAAGAGAAGACGACCACCAACAAUAUUUUUGGGAUAUAGUAUUCACUGAGCAUUUUAUGUCAGAGCUGCCGAUAGGCCCCUCCGGGGAAUGACAUCCUUGGUCCUGCCUCCCGAGGGAAAAAACUUCCUCUUUUACAUCAAAUCCACGAAAGUGACCAAUGUGACCUUGCAGGUUGGUAGUCAUCUUUUCUUUCAGGGAACCACAACACUUUUGGGAAAAGUAUACCAAAGCCACCGCGAGGGAGAGUGAGCGGAGACAGCAGACGAGGGAUGUCUCGAGACCGCAAAACCACAGUUAGUGGUGCGAGCGUGCAACCUUAAGGAUCCUUGUGCCUAAUGAAGGCAUAGAGGGAUCUACCGCAUUAAUUCAGUUGAACCUGGUGAAAGAAUGCAGAGUAGCUCAUCAAAGCCGCAGUACAAAUGUCAGUCAAUGAAGCUCCUCUGAAGAGGGCCCAUGAUGUAACCACUCCUCUGGUAGAGUGCACGGCCACCCGCCCAGGUGGGGUUAGGCCGGGAUUAGUAAAUUCAGUCGAAACUGUGUCCACAAUCCAGUGAUACAGACGCUGCUUUGAGAGGGCCUGAUCCUGGGUCCUUACACCAUGACAGACAAAGAGCUGGCCGGACAGACUGGAGAAUGUGAUGGUGUGUGACAAUUUGGACCCUCCUCUCCCUUAAGAACCCAUUGAGGUGUCUCAGGUCUAGGAUGGGGUGAAGGCCGCCAUCCUUCUUUGGCACCAAAAAAUAUCUUGAGUAGAACCCCUCCUCUUGGGAGGUGGGUUCUAUGAGGUGGAUGGCUUGCUUGAGAAGUAAUGCCACUACUUCUUGCUUGCCGAGACCUGGAGAGGGUCGCUCAAGGAUGUAACCAUGAUCCCUCGAAAGGGAGGAGGACCUGUGCGGAACUGAAGCACGUAACUGGUGUAUACAGUGGUGAGCACCCAAUUGUCUGAGGUGCGAGUGUGCCAAUGCUGUAGCUGGUGUUGUGUGAAGGAUUGGGUCUGAGGCUGCAAGCCUUCAGGGGCCCUGCUGGGGCUGUUGAGGCUGGGAUGGGGCCCGCUGCCUGGGGUGGCAUUGGAACUGCCUCCAGGAGCGCUGUUGCAUUGGGAUCCCAUGUCUGGUGCUCUCCCGUUGUUGCGAGUGGGCCCGGCUAUUAGCUUCCACAGAAGCCUGAAGACGGUGCCUCAGGUCGUCACGUGGGGCAGUGGGGAUCGGGACCAUCAGCGUCUCAUUCUCUCCCAUACCAGAGUACGGGAAGGGAGCAUUGAGGCUAUCUGCCGAGAUGCCUUGCGUUCUCGGUGGGAACAUUGCAGUAUUUUCUCCACAGUUGGGCCGAAAGUAUGGCCAGGGGAUAUUGGUGUUUCAAGCAACGCAGACUUGUCCUCAUCGGGGACUCUUGCUUGGGACAGCCAAAGCUCCGGCCCAGGGCUUGCCCUUGGAAGCCAGAGAUCUGGAGCAGUGUGCUUGAAACUAGGCACAGCUCUGAAGUCAUCGGAUCAGGGAGGGGUGCCGACUGCAGUAUACCAUCUAAGUACACUGUCAAGAAGCCUGCCGUGUUGGCCAGCCGUAUAGGCCUCUUUUAAGAGGGUCUCUGUUACCCUGCAUUGACCAUUAGGGCAUGCAGGGUCUUUGGGUAAACCCCCUACUGGAGAGGCUCGUACCAGGGGCGCGAUGGUCGAGUCCACUGGUGGGAAUUCCACCAAGUCUAACAUCCCUGUACCUUCUAAGGAAGCCGGCGGAGCUGCCCGUUUCACCACGUCCUAAAGACCGACCAGUGCGGUUCGGGUGCUGCCGUCCAAGGUACCUACAGGAACUUGGAGGCCCGCUGUACAAGUGCCGGGAUCGAGCUUUGAAGAGGGGGGAGCCCAGCGUCCAAGGUUAUCUUGGAGCUGGGACCCGUCUCAAAGGUCAGCUCUUGGGUGUCUCCUUCCUCCUCAUCCUGAGGGAAUGGACUACUGUCUCAGGAGGCCGCAAUUGAUAUUGCAUCCUGGUCUUCCUCGGCCACAGCCAGGUCUGGUUCUGAAGCAUCCAGGGUGAUCAUUGGUAAAGGCGGAGUCAGUUCCGAGGUAGGUGUUAUCGGCAGAGCCGGGGCCGAAGCAGGGGUUCGAGACUGCUGCUUGGCCAAAUACUCUAGGACUUGGGUCAUUUGGUCCUUUAAGUCUGUGAAGUCCUGUGCCUGUCUUGAAUGCUUGGCCCACUUAGUACUCCAUGCAGGAGACUCGGAGCAGGUACGCAGGGAAUGCUCUGAGAAGGGGCCCAGAGACAGAUUGAGGAGGGGAGAGGCCGGGGCUCAGGUCUAGGAUGAGGUCGUUCAGACGUUUCCAUAUUGAGCCAUCAUGGCACUGCUGACAGUGGAACCUGUGUGCAUUCAGACCUUUCGAUAUUGAGCCAUCUUGCGUCUGAAUGUCCCAACAUGGACAGUUAGCAUCUGAAAGGGGUAUAAAUGUGCACAACACACUGCACAACAUUACAACCAAACAGCAAUGAGGUGAACACAAUUAUAUGGCAUUGCUGAUGGUAUUUGGAAUAAUGAAACACAAAAUUAUGCUUUUUUUGCUUUGGCACUCAAGUAAUGUACUAGUUAUUGCAUUGGUUAUAAAAUUAUUCAUUAGUGAUAACAUUUAUUUUCAAUAUACAGUCUAAUGCAUUGUACCUAUAAUAAUUAAAAAUACAUAAGUAAACAUAUACAAUGUUCUGUCUUGGGUGUGCUAUACUUUACUGUAUAGAACUUAAUUACAUGUAAAUGUUAUGCUUUUAUUUCCCAAAGUAAUAUUAAGUCUGGUGUAAGACUGUUAAAUGAGAGUGUUAUUAACUGGAUUUUAAUAAUAACUAAAUUGAUAUUAUCAGAAUGUCACCAUUGGCAAACCCAGGAAAAGCAUAGUCUAAAAGCAUCUAGUGCAGUAUCAGAUGUCAAGUUUUAAAAUGAAAAUACAUGUUUGCUAAAACAUUUUUUUCUUUUAAAACUGCACAUUAGAGACCUACAUUUUUGACUGCAGCAGAUCAAAGUGCAAUAAGAAUGAAUGUGUUGGCAGUAAAAAUAUUUCCGUGUUCGGCAUGUUUAUUACACUUGCAUAUCUUAUCUUUAUACAAUAGUUUGCUAAAAUGAAAAUAAAUCAGGCCAAUUUGUUUGAAAGCACAUCCAGCUUGAACUGGGUUAUAGAUGCAGUAUCAUAAAGAUUUACCAACUGUCUGUUUAAUUUUUACAUUUUAAAGAUUUUAGUCUAUUUCAUAAUGCUCAGUGUGUACUUUCCCUGAAAAACAACUACCCAGUAUCAAUUUAUUACUAAUUAUUAUUAUUUAUUUCUUAGCAGACGCCCUUAUCCAGGGCGACUUACAAUUGUUACAAGAUAUCACAUUAUUUUUACAUACAAUUACAUUAUUUUUUACACAUUAUUUUUACAUACAAUUACAUUAUUUUUACAUACAAUUACCCAUUUAUACAGUUGUGUUUUUACUGGAGCAAUUUAGGUAAAGUACCUUGCUCAAGGGUAGAGCAGCAGUGUCCCCCACCUGGGAUUGAACCCACAACCCUCCUGUCAAGAGUCCAGAGCCCUAACCACUACUCCACACUGCUGCUAAUCACCUGUUCUGUUAAUAACUAACUUGACUGGCAAACAGUUACUGUAAUUCAUAGUGGUCAGAUAUCAGAAUCUGGGCAGGAGUGGCACACAAUGGAGGCUGCCAAAGAGAAGCUGCUUCAGGGAUCGGAAUUCUGCUUUCGAUCUGGCAGGCUAUACUGUGAAAGUGUCAACAUCAAAGACUUACAGCCAACAGUUGAGAGACUCUACAAAUCGCCCUUUUAUGUCUAUAGCAAAGCACAGCUGCAGAAGAAUAUCAGCGACUACUGCACUGCCUUGAACCAAUCUGGCCUGGAGCACAAGCUGUACUACUCAGUGAAGGCAAACAGAAACUUGGAGCUGCUCAGAAUAAUCAGUUCUUCUGGAUGUGGUGCAACAACUGUCAGUGGGUUUGAAAUGCAGAUUGCAAUGCAGGCUGGUUUUCCCCCUUCCAAUAUUCUGUACAAUGGUAAUGGGAAAACAAUGGAAGAAAUAGAAUAUGCCAUCAGGCAGGGCUGCAUGCAAAACAUUGACUCCCAGUUUGAUGCAGCACAUAUUUUAGAGGUUGCCAAGAAACUACACAAAACUGCUAGAGUUCUGCUAAGGUUAAAUCCCGACAUUGACCCCAACGUCCACCCUUAUAACACUACCGGCCUCCAGUUGUCUAAAUUUGGUAUAAUAGACCAGCAUUUAUCCACCGUAGUAGAAAUGGUUCAAUCCAGCCCCUGUGUGGAAGUCAUUGGUCUGCACUGUCACUUGGGCUCAACCAUUGAUGAUUUGGGGGUCAUAGCUUCAAUGUGCACCUACCUGCUGCAGAAAACCCAAGAGCUGAGAGGGAAAGGAUUUGACAGUAUCAGGUGUAUAAAUGUUGGAGGGGGUCUGUCAAUAAAUUAUAAAAGAGAAGGUGGGGCUGUCCCAACUCCUGCAAAACUGAUUGCGGAAAUACAGAAGAAACUGAAAGGAGAGAAAAUGCAAAUUAUUCUGGAACCAGGUCGCUCAGUAAUUGGAAACACUGCAAUUCUAGUUACCAAGGUUCUUGGUGUCAAAUCGUCCCCCUCCAAGACCUUUGUGGUUCCAUGACAGAAGUGAUCAGACCAAGCCUCUACUCAGCUUACCACCACGUGGAUCUGCUGGACUACACAGCAGACACUGGACAUGGAGACAAAACACUGCUCGACAUUGUUGGUCCUGUCUGUGAAUCAGCUGACUUCCUUGCCAAGGAUCGCCUGCUAACCUUGCCCCUGGAGGGCUCAGGGCUGGUUAUUUGUGAUGUCGGGGCCUACUGUGCCAGUGCGGCCUCCAACUACAACAUGAGACCAAGACCCGCUGAGAUCCUCAUUGACCAGGACCAGUGGAGGCUCAUCCGGAGACCUGAAACAUUUGAGGACUUAUUGAGAACAUGUGUGGGAAUAUGACAGACCACAGUGCCUCGUUUUUAAUAUACUGUUUGUGUAAUUCACAGCGCUAGGUUCUUCACCACCUUUGUAAUAGGAGGCCAGGCUGCUAACUGAAAUCACAUUCUUUGUUUUGAAAUUCCUGCUUUAGUCUAAAGUAAAUCAGAACAGUAAAAUGACUUGUACAACACCCGGAUUGCUUCUUCCAGAUUGAUAAAGAUAUCAUUCACAAAUUCUUUCCUGUCUAACUGGUUUUCAGUUUCCAUGCAACUCAAUGUUUUUUCACAAUAACACUUUCUGGACUAUAUGCACAAAGUCCCAGUUCUAAGUUUA